UAUCCAUGGUGUGGACAAUUUCACUGGUAUUCCCUAAAUCUUUCCCAAGUAUCUAAAAGAUCUUCAUCUUCUUUUUGUUUAAAAGUUGUUAUCUUGUUUCUUAAGAGA
rnacentral:snoRNA from 1 species